AGCUCCAAUAGCGUAUAUUAAAGUUGUUGCAGUUAAAAAACUCGUAGUUGGCUUUCGGAAAGGAUCGGUUGGUCGGCCGCAAGGUCUGUUACUAACCGGUCUGUUCUUCUUCGCAAAGCCUGAUCGUGCUCUUCAUUGAGCGCGUGUAGGAUUUACGACGUUUGUUUUGAAAAAAUUAGAGUGUUCAAAGCAGGCAAUUGGCUUGAAUACAUGAGCAUGGAAUAAUAAAAUAGGACUUCGGUUCUAUUUUGUUGGUUUCUAGAGCCGAAGUAAUGAUUAAGAGGGACAGUUGGGGGCAUCCGCAUUUCGUUGUCAGAGGUGAAAUACUUUGAUUUAAAAAAGACGAACAACUGCAAAAGCAUUUGUCAAGAAUGUUUUCAUUAAUCAAGAACGAAAGUAG
rnacentral:rRNA from 1 species